rnacentral:rRNA from 1 species
GGGGAAUUUUGGACAAUGGGCGCAAGCCUGAUCCAGCAAUGCCGCGUGAGUGAAGAAGGCCUUCGGGUUGUAAAGCUCUUUUGUCAGGGAAGAAACGGCUGUGGCUAAUAUCCACGGCUAAUGACGGUACCUGAAGAAUAAGCACCGGCUAACUACGUGCCAGCAGCCGCGGUAAUACGUAGGGUGCAAGCGUUAAUUGGAAUUACUGGGCGUAAAGCGUGCGCAGGCGGUUUUGUAAGUCUGUCGUGAAAUCCCCGGGCUCAACCUGGGAAUUGCGAUGGAGACUGCAAGGCUAGAAUCUGGCAGAGGGGGGUAGAAUUCCACGUGUAGCAGUGAAAUGCGUAGAGAUGUGGAGGAACACCGAUGGCGAAGGCAGCCCCCUGGGUCAAGAUUGACGCUCAUGCACGAAAGCGUGGGGAGCAAACAGGAUUAGAUACCCUGGUAGUCCACGCCCUAAACGAUGUCUACUAGUUGUCGGGCUUUAAUUAACUUGGUAACGCAGCUAACGCGUGAAGUAGACCGCCUGGGGAGUACGGUCGCAAGAUUA